AGCGCACACGGUGGAUGCCUUGGCGGUCAGAGGCGAUGAAGGACGUGGCAGCCUGCGAAAAGUAUCGGGGAGCUGGCAACAAGCUUUGAUCCGGUAAUGUCCGAAUGGGGAAACCCACCCGCUUGCGGGUAUCCUGCAGUGAAUACAUAGCUGCUGGAAGCGAACCUGGUGAACUGAAAUAUCUAAGUAACCAGAGGAAAAGAAAUCAACCGAGAUUCCGUAAGUAGCGACGAGCGAACGCGGACUAGCCCUUAAGCUGGAUUGGUUCUAGGAAAACGCUCUGGAAAGAGCGGCCAUAGAAGGUGAUAGCCCUGUAUCUGAAAGGGCCAUUCCAGUGAAGACGAGUAGGGCGGGGCACGUGAAACCCUGUCUGAACAUGGGGGGACCAUCCUCCAAGGCUAAAUACUACUGACCGACCGAUAGUGAACCAGUACCGUGAGGGAAAGGCGAAAAGAACCCCGGAGAGGGGAGUGAAAUAGAACCUGAAACCGUGUGCGUACAAGCAGUAGGAGCUCCGCAAGGAGUGACUGCGUACCUUUUGUAUAAUGGGUCAGCGACUUACUGUUCGUGGCAAGCUUAACCGUAUAGGGGAGGCGAAGGGAAACCGAGUCUGAUAAGGGCGCAUAGUCGCGGGCAGUAGACCCGAAACCGGGUGAUCUAGUCAUGCCCAGGGUGAAGGUGCGGUAACACGCACUGGAGGCCCGAACCCACUCCCGUUGCAAAGGUAGGGGAUGAGGUGUGAUUAGGAGUGAAAAGCUAAUCGAACCCGGAGAUAGCUGGUUCUCCUCGAAAGCUAUUUAGGUAGCGCCUCAUAUGUAUCCUCUCGGGGGUAGAGCACUGUUAUGGCUAGGGGGUCAUCGCGACUUACCAAACCAUUGCAAACUCCGAAUACCGAGACGGACUGUAUGGGAGACACACGGCGGGUGCUAACGUCCGUCGUGAAAAGGGAAACAACCCAGACCCACAGCUAAGGUCCCAAAUUUUGUGCUAAGUGGAAAACCAUGUGGAAAGGCACAGACAGCCAGGAGGUUGGCUUAGAAGCAGCCACCCUUUAAAGAAAGCGUAAUAGCUCACUGGUCGAGUCGGUCUGCGGGGAAGAUUUAACGGGGCUAAGCACAGAACCGAAGCUUGGGGUGCAUAACUUUGUUAUGCGCGGUAGAGGAGCGUUCCGUAAGCCGUUGAAGGUGGAUUGAGAAGUCUGCUGGAGGUAUCGGAAGUGCGAAUGCUGACAUGAGUAACGAUAAUGCGGGUGAAAAACCCGCACGCCGAAAGCCCAAGGUUUCCUUGCGCAACGUUAAUCGGCGCAGGGUGAGUCGGCCCCUAAGGCGAGGACGAAAGUCGUAGUCGAUGGGAAGCAGGUUAAUAUUCCUGCACCUCGCGUAAGUGCGAUGGAGGGACGGAGAAGGUUAGGUGUACCAGGCGUUGGUUGUCCUGGGGAAAGGCGGUAGGUUUGGAUCUUUGGCAAAUCCGGGAUCCUUUAAGACCGAGCACCGAGACGAGCCUUUAAGGCGAAGUCACUGAUACCACGCUUCCAGGAAAAGCUCCUAAGCUUCAGCUUACGCAGACCGUACCGUAAACCGACACAGGUGGGUAGGAUGAGAAUUCUCAGGCGCUUGAGAGAACUCGGGUGAAGGAACUAGGCAACAUGGCACCGUAACUUCGGGAGAAGGUGCACCCUUUUUGGUGGCUCGUGCGAGCUAUAGCUGAAGAGGGUCGCAGUAACCAGGCCGCUGCGACUGUUUAUCAAAAACACAGCACUCUGCAAACACGAAAGUGGACGUAUAGGGUGUGACGCCUGCCCGGUGCUGGAAGGUUAAUUGAUGGGGUCAGCCGCAAGGCGAAGCUCUUGAUCGAAGCCCCAGUAAACGGCGGCCGUAACUAUAACGGUCCUAAGGUAGCGAAAUUCCUUGUCGGGUAAGUUCCGACCUGCACGAAUGGCGUAACGACAGCGGCGCUGUCUCCACCCGAGACUCAGUGAAAUUGAAAUCGCUGUGAAGAUGCAGCGUUCCCGUGGCAAGACGGAAAGACCCCGUGAACCUUUACUAUAGCUUUACACUGAACGUUGAGUUCGUCUGUGUAGGAUAGGUGGGAGGCUAUGAAACCAUGGCGCUAGCUGUGGCGGAGCCAUCCUUGAAAUACCACCCUGUCGUGCUUGACGUUCUAACCUGGGCCCAUUAUCUGGGUCGGGGACCGUGUAUGGUGGGUAGUUUGACUGGGGCGGUCUCCUCCUAAAGAGUAACGGAGGAGCUCGAAGGUACGCUCAGCGCGGUCGGACAUCGCGCACUGUGUGCAAAGGCAUAAGCGUGCUUGACUGCAAGAUCGACGGAUCAAGCAGGUAGGAAACUAGGACUUAGUGAUCCGGUGGUUCUGUAUGGAAGGGCCAUCGCUCAACGGAUAAAAGGUACUCCGGGGAUAACAGGCUGAUACCGCCCAAGAGUUCAUAUCGACGGCGGUGUUUGGCACCUCGAUGUCGGCUCAUCACAUCCUGGGGCUGUAGUCGGUCCCAAGGGUAUGGCUGUUCGCCAUUUAAAGUGGUACGCGAGCUGGGUUCAGAACGUCGUGAGACAGUUCGGUCCCUAUCUGCCAUGGGCGUUGGAGAUUUGAGAGGGGCUGCUCCUAGUACGAGAGGACCGGAGUGGACGAACCUCUGGUGUUCCGGUUGUCACGCCAGUGGCAUUGCCGGGUAGCUAUGUUCGGAAGCGAUAACCGCUGAAAGCAUCUAAGCGGGAAGCGCGCCUCAAGAUGAGAUCUCCCGGGGCACAAGCCCCCUGAAGGAACCAUGUAGACUACGUGGUUGA
rnacentral:rRNA from 1 species